rnacentral:rRNA from 1 species
CCUACGGGAGGCAGCAGUGGGGAAUAUUGGACAAUGGGGGCAACCCUGAUCCAGCCAUGCCGCGUGUGUGAAGAAGGCCCUCGGGUUGUAAAGCACUUUCAGUGAGGAAGAACGCCUGGUGGUUAAUACCCAUCAGGAAAGACAUCACUCACAGAAGAAGCACCGGCUAACUCCGUGCCAGCAGCCGCGGUAAUACGGAGGGUGCGAGCGUUAAUCGGAAUUACUGGGCGUAAAGCGCGCGUAGGUGGCUUGAUAAGCCGGUUGUGAAAGCCCCGGGCUCAACCUGGGAACGGCAUCCGGAACUGUCAAGCUAGAGUGCAGGAGAGGAAGGUAGAAUUCCCGGUGUAGCGGUGAAAUGCGUAGAGAUCGGGAGGAAUACCAGUGGCGAAGGCGGCCUUCUGGACUGACACUGACACUGAGGUGCGAAAGCGUAGGUAGCAAACAGGAUUAGAUACCCGGGUAGUC